rnacentral:lncRNA from 1 species
CUUCAUAUCCUGAGGUGAUCACAUGCGCAAUUGAUUAUACGAGUCCUCGAGUAUAUAUGCUCUUCUAACUGAAAUUCUAUGCUUGUUGUCAAAGUCAACAUAAGCAUGAGCGAGAAUGACCUCUAAAGCAAUCUCGGGCUCUGUCAGAUGUAUGCAUUCAACAGCUUCUGGUGUUUCUCUGAUAACUUGACAAAAGCUAACUGUUUUUCUUCAACAUUUAUGCAUGUCCCUGACAACUUCAGUCCAUCCAUCAUUAGCUAUAGCUUCUCCACCAUCAGUAUUCGUUGUGUUGCAGUUCCAAUAUCUUUCACUGCUACUAAG